AUCAAGGUUUUGAUGUGUCACUGUCAGAUGCCAGUAGUGUUUUUGAUUCCAUAAAGGGACAACACUUGAAACACUUGCAGGAGUGGUUUCCCUGGUAGAUCCAGAGGUGGAUCAAUCAAGGCCUUUCCUAUGACCAUAAAACCAUGGCGAAACAGUAAGAGACAUGGGGAGCUGCUAGGAGAUCAACAAUUUGAUGUUAUUU